rnacentral:tRNA from 1 species
GCGGGGCUCGUCCUCUGGUGAGGGCACCUGCCUUACGAGCAGGCUCAGGAGAGUUCGAUCCUCUCGUCCCGUA